ACGUCACGCCCCGCCCCUGCCCGUCACGGGGGCGGCCCCGCCUCCCCGCCCUCCUCCCCUGCCCGCCCCGCCGGCAUCCUCAGUCCACGCGCGGUUCGCUUCCAGCCCGCACCGGCCUCGGGGACGCAGGGAAGGCCAUGGAGACUUCAGGAUCACUUCAAGACCACAGUCGAGUCCACGGAGAAUCAAAAGAUCUAGACCAUGGAGAGACGAAUUUCCACAAGCAAGACCAGGAGGCUGGGCUCAAUUCUGAAGAACGAGACAAGAGAGACAAGUCUUCCUCCUCUUCCUCCUCCUCCUCUUCUUCCUCCUCCUCCUCAGGUGCUGAGCAUGGGGAGCUUGAAGGAGUUUUGAAGGAUGAGCUUCAACUCUAUGAAGGUGCCCCCGGGGAGUUGGUGCCACCUGAGGAAUCAGGACUUCGAAGGAGAGGCUCUAACACAGCGAGUGGAGCAGAGGAGGCCUCUCAGUUAAGAAGACUGAAUAUAAAGAAGGAUGAUGAGUUUUUCCAUUUCAUCCUCCUCUGCUUUGCCAUUGGGGCCUUGCUGGUGUGUUACCACUAUUAUACAGACUGGUUCAUAUCCCUGGGGGUCGGCCUGCUCACCUUCGCCUCCCUGGAGACGGUUGGCAUCUACUUUGGUCUGGUGUACCGGAUCCACAGCGUCUUGCAAGGCUUCAUCCCCCUCUUCCAGAAGUUUCGGCUGAUAGGGCAUGGGCGCAAGAGGGGGCUCUAAUCGGUGAGCCUCGGGAAAGCGAGGUUUCCGGGCAACGGAGAAAAACAUCGAGCAGGUCGCUUCCAGAGAGAGGGAAAAAGGACCAGAAACAGUUCACUUUUAUGUGGGGCAGACAAUACACAUCUACCAUCCUGCUCAGGCUGUGUUAGCUCCCCCGCCCUCUGUCAUAACACAGUCUGAAGGGACUGGACCACCUGGACAUUCUGCAAAACAGCACAUUGUUCCACUCAAUUGGUGAAAUACUGUAAAUAGGACUCAAUGAACAAGACAUGGUCCCAGAGGGUAGGAGAUAAACCCUACAAGAACUCAAGGACUCUAGAAGAUGGUCAGUUAACCCUACUAAGUUUCAGGGGCUCACCACAUUAAUAGUUUGCGGGGGUUCAGUGGUCUGGGACUUGCUGGGACAACCCCUCCAAAGUAAAGGACAUCGGAUUGCAUCUUGGACCUCUCACCAUUCAGAAGGAAGCACAGCGUCCUGGCAGACGUCUGCAGGCUGGAGUCAGCACAUCUGAUACUUGGGAAUUCUUAUCUAACCUAUUUUAUGAGUGAUGUGGAAGACUGCCAACUUUGAGCAGGUCCUGAGCAGAAAAGAACUCUGUGAGAGAUCUAGGCUAUCCUGCAAGCAGUUCUGCCUCUUGGGCCAUAGGACCUGGGAGGACCUCUGGUGUUAGAGGGAAAGGGUGCCACAGUUUUAAGGCAAGCUCCGACAGGAUCAUCACAUCCCACAUCCCUAGAGUUCUGGAGCAAGGCCAGUCGCUCUGUGGCAGAGAAUUAUCACCAUCUGAGAAAGUUCUCCUGGGGUGGGCCCUGGCAGAGACAGAGCGCCUGACCGUGGAACAUGAAGUGAACUUGGGGCCCGAAUAGCCCCUCACAAGCUGGCAUCUGUAGGACCAACCAUGUCACGAGGUCAGAUGAGCUCGACAACAAUCUAAAGUCAGAUGGCACAUCUGGAAUCAGGCACAAGCAGAGCAGAGGGCACAGGCAGGUGGCCAAGACCCUCGUGUCAUCCACCAGCACUGUACCAACACGUGCCCUUCAUCUCACAUCUAUGGCUGCCUGGGGCCCGCAUGGCCACCUGACAAGGAGGGAUGGAUCUGUUUGAUAUGUGAAAAUGGAAGAUGGCCACACUGCAGCCUCAUUCUGAAGUGACCCUUAAAGGGGAUAAUGAGACAGAGCCUUCCCAGUAGGCAGGGCCUUGGGCAGAGCAUGUGAGCAUCCACUCUGUGGACACGUGGUCAGAGGUAAGAAUAAAUACAGACUAAUGGGCAGUGGGGAAAACAGGAAGGAUAAAUGUUAGAAGAUUGGGGACAAGGAGGGCUGGGAAAGAGGGGGGUGUGUGGACCCACAGGAAUGGACACAGCGUGAUCUUUGCACCAUGUGUUGGUGUCCAUGGAAAGCAUUCAUCGUUGAAGAGGCACUAAGCAACCAAGCAGAAAGAGUGGCUCAGCUAGGUCAGCAGUCAGCUUUUGUCACUGGUCACCCCAGUUUUGGCACGACAGGCUCAUGAAUGGAGGUGUGGUGGCAGGGGCAGAAGCUCUGCAUCCGCUAAGAAUGACCUGGCUACUGCCACUGCUGAGUGUCCAGUUUUCCAGCGACAAAGAUUGACAUGGAUCUGCCAACAUGGCACCAUCUUUCAAGGAACCCACCAGUCACUUGGUGGCGAGUUGAUUACACUGGACAUCUUCUAGCAAGAAGCAAUUUGUCUUGACUGGGACUGACAUAUAUUUUGGGUAUGGGGUUACCUUUCCUGGCUACAAGUUCUUGGCCAAUCUAAAGAUUUGCAGAGUGUUUGAUCCACUGCCAUUUGGUCUCAGAAAACAUCACAUUGGACCAAGGGACUCACUUGACAGCAAAGAAGGUGCAGCAGUAGACGUAGGACCAUGGGACCCACUGGACACACACCGCAUUGCCCAGAAACUGCUGGUUUGGGGGAGGCUUUGGACUUAUGAGGAAUUGGGGGCUAAAACGUACAUCCAAGCCAGUCAAAUGGGGUCCCCAAAAGAUAACAGGUUUUGGGUCUCUCCCCAACCCAGAAGUAUUAUCUCAUUUCCACCCCACAGACCUGUAGGAAGGAGGUACUUUAGUUCUUAAUACUCUCUGACUUGUAUCCUUUCUCUCUCCCACAUGCACAAUAAAUCCUGCCUGAAAGCUAAUGUACCACCAGGCUCCCUUGAGGACCUUUGGCCACAGGCUUCUUCCCACAGACCUCCCCGGCCUGCCUGGAGGCUUUCUUGGUCAAUACCUGGCAAGGCUCCAGCCCUGCUGGGCCAAAGGCUCUGUCAUUGCUUCCCCUUCCAAACAUCUAAGCAGACCAAGAUGCUAGCUUUCUAGAGUCACAGGCAAGACAUCCUGGUAGGAGGUAGGCUCACAUUCAAUGUCUCUUCUUCCAGGUGGAUUUUAGCUCUUUUCAAUCCAGCCAUCUCUAGAAAACUCUAUCCUAUGCCCCAAAGGCGUGAUCAGCAGAACACUGAGGAAUGAUAAGGUUCCUCUCAGUAACAACCACUUGCCUCUUGUCUCCUGACUGGAUCUGGCUUUCCCGAGAGGUGGCGAUGAUGUCAUUUUGGAGGGGCUGGCUGCCCUCGGGCCGCCUUGAGUGGGUUGUGCGGCCCCUGGCCUCUGGCUGAACUGAUUUAUCCUCUGCAAAGACCAUAUUCUCACAGGCAACAGGGAUGAGGGAAGCAGUCAGGAACCUAAAAACCUGUCCUUCCCCUUCAUAACCCCCUCCUUGCCCCCCAUUCUGUGGAUGCUGUUGUGAUUGAAGUUUGUGUAUUAAAGAAUUGUUAUAUUUAAAAUGUUCAAUAGGUCUAAAAACACUUUAGCU